rnacentral:lncRNA from 1 species
CUAUGCCCUAGAGCUAGUGGAAGACCUAAGAUGGCGGCGUUUGCGCGGGGUGUAACCACUGCGUCCUUACGGGGGUUGCAAGGCGUCCGAAGUAUGAGUCCACUAACAAAAGUCCAGAAACUCGCCAGUUAAUAGUAUUGUGUCUCUUCAAAAUAUCGGAAAAUAAUUUCUUUCUCGCUGAUCGCCUAACUUCUACUGACGAGGCUAGGAAGUUGCAGAAGAUGGAGUUCACUCUUGUUGCCCAGGCUGGAAUGCAAUGGCAUGACCUUGGCUCACUGCAACCUCUGCCUCCCCAGUUCAAGUGGUUCUCCUGCCUCAGCCUCCCGAGUAGCUGGGAUUAGAGGUACUGGCUCCUGUAUCACCCAGCUCUGGAGUUGAAAGAGCUCUUCAUUCCUGAGUCUCCUGUACCACUGAGAAUAGGCUGGAGUGCAGUGGCGCAAUCUUGGCUCACUGCAACCUCCACCUCCCGGGUUCAAGCGAUUCUCCUGCCUCAGCCUCCUGAAUAGCUGAGAUUACAAGCAUGCACCACCACGCCCGUCUAAUUUUGUAUUUUCACUAGAGACGGAGUUUCUCCAUGUUGG